rnacentral:rRNA from 1 species
UACGUAGGGGGCGAGCGUUAUCCGGAUUCACUGGGUGUAAAGGGAGCGUAGACGGCCGAGCAAGCCAGGGGUGAAAGCCCGGGGCCCAACCCCGGGACUGCCCUUGGAACUGCAUGGCUGGAGUGCGGGAGGGGCAGGCGGAAUUCCUGGUGUAGCGGUGAAAUGCGUAGAUAUCAGGAGGAACACCGGCGGCGAAGGCGGCCUGCUGGAUCGCGACUGACGUUGAGGCUCGAAAGCGUGGGGAGCGAACAGG